rnacentral:tRNA from 1 species
GGUGUAGCUUAGUGGUAAAGCAUUUGCCUAGCAUGCAGGAGUACUUGGGUUUGACCCCAGUACC